GCGCGAAAACUUUACAAUGCUGGCAACAGCGAUAAGGGAACCUCGAGUGCCAGGUUACAAAUCUGGCUGUCGAGAUGCCUAAAAAGCAUUUCAUAGCAAGGGCCGGGCAAGACCGGUGCCAGCCGCCGCGGUAACACCGGCGGCUCGAGUGGUAACCGUUAUUAUUGGGUCUAAAGGGUCUGUAGCCGGCCGGAUAAGUCUCUUGAGAAAUCUGGCAGCUUAACUGUCAGGCUUUCAGGAGAUACUGUCUGGCUCGAGGCCGGGAGAGGUGAGAGGUACUUCAGGGGUAGGGUGAAAUCUUGUAAUCCUUGAAGGACCACCAGUGGCGAAGGCGUCUCACCAGAACGGACCUGACGGCAAGGGCAAAGGCUAGGGGCACGAACCGGAUUAGAAACCCUGUAG
rnacentral:rRNA from 1 species